rnacentral:rRNA from 1 species
GACGAACGCUGGCGGCGUGCUUAACACAUGCAAGUCGAACGGAAAGGCCCUGCUUUUGUGGGGUGCUCGAGUGACGAACGGGUGAGUAACACGUGAGUAACCUGCCCUUGACUUUGGGAUAACUUCAGGAAACUGGGGCUAAUACCGGAUAGGAGCUCCUGCUGCAUGGUGGGGGUUGGAAAGUUUCGGCGGUUGGGGAUGGACUCGCGGCUUAUCAGCUUGUUGGAGGGGUAGUGGCUUACCAAGGCUUUGACGGGUAGCCGGCCUGAGAGGGUGACCGGCCACAUUGGGACUGAGAUACGGCCCAGACUCCUACGGGAGGCAGCAGUGGGGAAUAUUGCACAAUGGGCGGAAGCCUGAUGCAGCAACGCCGCGUGCGGGAUGACGGCCUUCGGGUUGUAAACCGCUUUCGCCUGUGACGAAGCGUGAGUGACGGUAAUGGGUAAAGAAGCACCGGCUAACUACGUG